rnacentral:snoRNA from 1 species
GCGCGAUGAUUUAGAUUUGGUGACUAAUGGCUGAGGCGGACUGGUCAGCCUCGUCUGAAUAAGACGGAACCCAAGGUAUGACUGUUCGUCGCAGGAUCGAAGCUUUAGUCGCUGUAUGAGCGCU